rnacentral:rRNA from 1 species
UACAGAGGUCCCAAGCGUUGUUCGGAUUCACUGGGCGUAAAGGGUGCGUAGGUGGUGAGGUAAGUCGGAUGUGAAAUCUCCAAGCUCAACUUGGAAACUGCAUUGGAAACUACCUUGCUAGAGGAUUUGAGGGGGAUUGGAAUACUUGGUGUAGCAGUGAAAUGCGUAGAUAUCAAGUGGAACACCAGUGGCGAAGGCGAAUCCCUGGAAAUACCUGACACUGAGGCACGAAAGCUAGGGAGCAAACAGG